AUUGAACGCUGGCGGCAUGCCUUACACAUGCGAGUCGAACGGCAGCACGGGAGCAAUCCUGGUGGCGAGUGGCGAACGGGUGAGUAAUAUAUCGGAACGUGCCCAGUCGUGGGGGAUAACGCAGCGAAAGCUGUGCUAAUACCACAUACGAUCUACGGAUGAAAGCGGGGGAUCGCAAGACCUCGCGCGAUUGGAGCGGCCGAUAUCAGAUUAGCUAGUUGGUGAGGUAAAGGCUCACCAAGGCGACGAUCUGUAGCUGGUCUGAGAGGACGACCAGCCACACUGGAACUGAGACACGGUCCAGACUCCUACGGGAGGCAGCAGUGGGGAAUUUUGGACAAUGGGCGAAAGCCUGAUCCAGCAAUGCCGCGUGCAGGAUGAAGGCCUUCGGGUUGUAAACUGCUUUUGUACGGAACGAAACGGUGAGCUCUAAUACAGUUUGCUAAUGACGGUACCGUAAGAAUAAGCACCGGCUAACUACGUGCCAGCCGCCGCAGUAAGAC
rnacentral:rRNA from 1 species